GUCUUUUAGAUUAUAAUUUAAAGUCUAAUCUGCUCAAUGAUUUAAAAAUUAAAUAGCUGCGGUAUUUUGACCGUACAAAGGUAGCAUAAUCAAUAGUUUUUUAAUUAAAAGCUGGAAUGAAAGAUUUAAUGAAAUUUUAACUGUCUCAAAUUUAUUUAUAUAAUUUUUUUUGUUAAUUAAAAAAUUAAUAUGAUUUUAAAAGACGAGAAGACCCUAUAGAAUUUUAUUUUUUUUUAAUUAAAUUAAUAUAUUAAUUAUAAAUUGAAUUAAAAAUAAAUUUAAUUGGGGUGAUUUUUAAAUUUAAAAAACUUUUUAAAUAUUAAACAUUAAUUAAUGAAAAUUUGAUCUUAAAUUUUAGAUUAUAAGAAUAAAUUACCUUAGGGAUAACAGCGUUAUUUUAUUGGAAAGUUCAUAUUUAUAAUAAAAAUUGC
rnacentral:rRNA from 1 species